UACGUAGGGGGCUAGCGUUGUCCGGAAUCAUUGGGCGUAAAGCGCGUGUAGGCGGUCCGGUAAGUCCGCUGUGAAAGUCGAGGGCUCAACCCUCGAAUGCCGGUGGAUACUGUCGGGCUUGAGUACGGGAGAGGCGGAGUGGAAUUCCUGGUGUAGCGGUGAAAUGCGCAGAUAUCGGGAGGAACACCGGUGGCGAAGGCGGUUCUCUGGGCCUUACCUGACGCUGAGAGCGAAGCGUGGGAGCGAACAGGAUAGA
rnacentral:rRNA from 1 species